CCCACGGGGGGCAGCAGUGGGGAAUAUUGGACAAUGGGGGCAACCCUGAUCCAGCCAUGCCGCGUGUGUGAAGAAGGCCCUCGGGUUGUAAAGCACUUUCAGUGAGGAAGAACGCCUGGUGGUUAAUACCCAUCAGGAAAGACAUCACUCACAGAAGAAGCACCGGCUAACUCCGUGCCAGCAGCCGCGGUAAUACGGAGGGUGCGAGCGUUAAUCGGAAUUACUGGGCGUAAAGCGCGCGUAGGUGGCUUGAUAAGCCGGUUGUGAAAGCCCCGGGCUCAACCUGGGAACGGCAUCCGGAACUGUCAAGCUAGAGUGCAGGAGAGGAAGGUAGAAUUCCCGGUGUAGCGGUGAAAUGCGUAGAGAUCGGGAGGAAUACCAGUGGCGAAGGCGGCCUUCUGGACUGACACUGACACUGAGGUGCGAAAGCGUGGGUAGCAAACAGGAUUAGAUACCCCGGUAGUC
rnacentral:rRNA from 1 species